AGAAUCAACGCUGGCGGCGUGCCUAACACAUGUAAGUCGAACGAGAAAGUGGAGCAAUCCAUUAGUAAAGUGGCGCACGGGUGAGUAACACGUGACUAACCUACCCUUGAGUGGGGGAUAACCUAGAGAAAUCUGGGCUAAUACCGCAUAAUACCUUCGGGUCAAAGGAGCAAUUCGCUUAAGGAGGGGGUCGCGGCCGAUUAGUUAGUUGGCGGGGUAAUGGCCCACCAAGACUAUGAUCGGUAUCCGGCCUGAGAGGGCGCACGGACACACUGGAACUGAAACACGGUCCAGACUCCUACGGGAGGCAGCAGUGGGGAAUUUUGCGCAAUGGGGGAAACCCUGACGCAGCAACGCCGCGUGGAGGAUGAAGCCCCUUGGGGCGUAAACUCCUUUCGAUCGGGACGAUAAUGACGGUACCGAGAGAAGAAGCCCCGGCUAACUUCGCGCCAGCAGCCGC
rnacentral:rRNA from 1 species